rnacentral:lncRNA from 1 species
UAGGGCCUUGAUCCUGAUAGGAUUAGUGUCAUAAGAGACACCAGAGAACUUUCUCUUUCUCCCCACCAUGUGAGGACACAGUGAGAAGUUGGCCAUCCGCAAGCCAGGAAAAGAACUCUCACCAGAACCUGACCAUGCUCACACCCUGAUGUCAGACUUCCAGGCUCCAGAAUUGCCUGCCCAUGAAAAACCCAAGAGGAUGAAACAGAGAACUCCCAGGCCUUGCCCUGUAGUCACAGAGAACGGGAGACUGCCUGACUGUGGGCAUCACAAGAAUUUCAAGGCCCAGAACUUGGAAGUUAGGCCUGAAGGGAAUGGCUCACAGCAUCUCAGAGUGAUCACCUUCUACGGUAGGCAAAGUUGUUUCUGAGCUGAUGUAAUUGGAACUAUAGUAGCAGGGAGUCUGUCAUUCUAUCCUCCUUUGACUUGGGGGAGAUCCUGCUCUGCAGAAUUGUCAAGAAAUGCGAACUUUGGGUGCACUCUGAAAGAUAUAAGUGCAGCAGUGGGAAGCCACAUUCACCCUCCUACAUCUGUAUCUUCUUUAUAUCCUUUGCUACUUGUUAGCUCAUCCAGAACUAUACCAAAGUAAUAUCAACUUGAAUGGAAGCCAAGACUUUCUUCUCUCCAGUCCCCAAACCCAGACCAAAUUCCGUGGUCUAGUUUUCAGCUUACAUUAUAUGAUCCAGCUCCAUUCUUACAGUAAGCACAUUCAAUAAAAGACGACAAAUAAUUAAAAUGCAAAAAAGAUGACGAUUUGUGCACAGUGAGAAUUAUUUUAAGAGAAGCCACAGGAAUAUGCUCCUGCCCUCAAAGAGCUGAUUUUCUAGUGAGGGGAACAAAAAGUAUAAAAACUAUUCCUGUCAAAAGCAAUGUCAAGGGGCCGGCCCGGUGGUG